rnacentral:rRNA from 1 species
AUGUGGUUUAAUUCGAAGCAACGCGCAGAACCUUACCAGCCCUUGACAUACCGGUCGCGGACACAGAGAUGUGUCUUUCAGUUCGGCUGGACCGGAUACAGGUGCUGCAUGGCUGUCGUCGGCUCGUGUCGUGAGAUGUUGGGUUAAGUCCCGCAACGAGCGCAACCCUCGCCCUUAGUUGCCAGCAUUUAGUUGGGCACUCUAAGGGGACUGCCGGUGAUAAGCCGAGAGGAAGGUGGGGAUGACGUCAAGUCCUCAUGGCCCUUACGGGCUGGGCUACACACGUGCUACAAUGGUGGUGACAGUGGGCAGCGAGCACGCGAGUGUGAGCUAAUCUCCAAAAGCCAUCUCAGUUCGGAUUGCACUCUGCAACUCGAGUGCAUGAAGUUGGAAUCGCUAGUAAUCGCGGAUCAGCAUGCCGCGGUGAAUACGUUCCCGGGCCUU